UCAUUUUGAAAUUGCAGCUUUACGUGUU
rnacentral:piRNA from 1 species